rnacentral:rRNA from 1 species
AUUGAACGCUGGCGGCAGGCCUAACACAUGCAAGUCGAGCGGUAGAGAGGUGCUUGCAUCUCUUGAGAGCGGCGGACGGGUGAGUAAUGCCUAGGAAUCUGCCUAGUGGUGGGGGAUAACGUUCGGAAACGGACGCUAAUACCGCAUACGUCCUACGGGAGAAAGCGGGGGAUCUUCGGACCUCGCGCCAUUAGAUGAGCCUAGGUCGGAUUAGCUAGUUGGUGAGGUAAUGGCUCACCAAGGCGACGAUCCGUAACUGGUCUGAGAGGAUGAUCAGUCACACUGGAACUGAGACACGGUCCAGACUCCUACGGGAGGUAGCAGUGGGGGAAUAUUGGACAAUGGGCGAAGACCUGAUCCAGCCAUGCCGCGUGUGUGAAGAAGGUCUUCGGAUUGUAAAGCACUUAAGUU